AUUGAACGCUGGCGGCAUGCCUUACACAUGCAAGUCGAACGGCAGCACGGGAGCUUGCUCCUGGUGGCGAGUGGCGAACGGGUGAGUAAUACAUCGGAACGUACCCUGAAGUGGGGGAUAACGUAGCGAAAGUUACGCUAAUACCGCAUAUUCUGUGAGCAGGAAAGAGGGGGGAUCGCAAGACCUCUUGCUUUAGGAGCGGCCGAUGUCGGAUUAGCUAGUUGGUGAGGUAAAAGGCUCACCAAGGCGACGAUCCGUAGCGGGUCUGAGAGGAUGAUCCGCACACUGGGACUGAGACACGGCCCAGACUCCUACGGGAGGCAGCAGUGGGGGAAUUUUGGACAAUGGGCGCAAGCCUGAUCCAGCCAUGCCGCGUGAGUGAAGAAGGCCUC
rnacentral:rRNA from 1 species